rnacentral:misc_RNA from 1 species
UCCGGUUUGGCACCGGCAGUCUUCCUAGAGUCCCCGACUCUACUCGCUGGCAACUAGGAACGGGGGUUGCGCUCGUUGCGGGACUUAACCCAACAUCUCACGGCACGAGCUGACGACAGCCAUGCAGCACCUGUACUAGCUCCCCGAAGGGUUCUUCAUCUUUCGAGUCCGUACCACUAGCAUGUCAAGCCUUGGUAAGGUUCUUCGCGUUGCAUCGAAUUAAACCACACGCUCCGCCGCUUGUGCGGGCCCCCGUCAAUUCCUUUGAGUUUUAGCCUUGCGGCCGUACUCCCCAGGCAGGGCACUUAAUGCGUUAGCUGCGACACCGGAGGGGUCGAUACCCCCGACAUCUAGUGCCCAACGUUUACGGCGUGGACUAC